rnacentral:snRNA from 1 species
AUCGCUUCUCAGCCUUUUGGCUAAGAUCAAGUGUCAUACCUGUUCUUAUCAGUUAAAACAUUUGCCUGCUCAUUUUGACAGUCUCUGCUUAAUCAUUUUUGCGAUUCCAUCUUUU